UAACAUUCAUAUAUUGGUGCCAUCAUAUUUGCAGAUUAUUCCUUAUUCAUAAAUUAUGGAGGCAGUACAAUGAUUGUUGGGAAGCAAGAAUAUGAAGGUGAAUCAUCAGAAAUGGGACCCUCAGACAUUCUCUUCUACUGACAGAAAAAUAGUUAGGAUCUAUCAAUAGUUUAUUCAACACUGCAUCCUUCCUUAGGCUGUAACGCGGUUUGUAUGUGCAUGCUGGUACCUUAAUCCUUUGUACUAAUUUGAUGCAUGUGUUCAUCUAUGUUGCAUGCAUUUGGGUGUUUGCAUGGAUUUUAUUUCUCAAUGAUUUCGUUGAGCCUCCGUACUGAUCUUUUGUUUUUGUACUAAAUGAGGGAAUAAAAUUCAUGUAGCCGACUCCAAUUAGUUAGGUUAAGGGGGCGGUGGUGGCGAAUGUGAUUGAUCACACGUUGGAGAUCCACUUCUACUGGGCUGGAUGUGGACUGCUGCAAGUUUGGUGGUUGGAUGUGGACUGCUGCUCUAACUUAUCAAAUGGUUGUGAUCGAGGUAGUUAUUGAAAGAUGGUGCAGAAAUAUAUAUGUUCAUAUGUUACUUCAAUGGUGACGCUGUGGGAAUAUGUUAUUUGGAAUUUGUUUGGUUGGAAUAUGUUAUUCCAAGUGGACU